rnacentral:rRNA from 1 species
UACGUAGGGGGCGAGCGUUGUCCGGAUUUAUUGGGCGUAAAGAGCUCGUAGGCGGUUUGGUAAGUCGGGUGUGAAAUCUCCACGCUCAACGUGGAAGGGCCACUCGAUACUGCCAUGACUCGAGUCCGGUAGAGGAGUGUGGAAUUCCCGGUGUAGCGGUGAAAUGCGCAGAUAUCGGGAGGAACACCGGUGGCGAAGGCAGCUCUCUGGGCCGUAACUGACGCUGAGGAGCGAAAGCGUGGGGAGCGAACAGG